CCCCGUUUCUUCGGACCUCUCAAUACCCCAUUCGAAGUCAUUGAUGAUGGAAUGGGUGAUCUACAUUGCUGCGACUAUCUCCAGCAUCUUUGGUUUAAUACUUUCGAAAGAAGAGGGAAGGGGGAUCUUUGAUUCCCCGUUUCUUCGGACCCUUCAACAUUUCUUUGAAAAUGUCAAAUCAAAUUUGCCAGCCGAACAGAUUCGCGCCACCGUCAUCAACUUCACCGUCGACAUCUACGACAUCGCCGGUUUAAUACUUUCGAAAGAAGAGGGGAGGGGGAUCUUUAAUUCCCCGUUUCUUUGGACCGUUCAACAUUUCUUCGAAAAUAUCAAAUCAAAUCCGACGGUCAAACAAAUCCGCGCCACUGUCAUCAACUUCAGUGACAUCAUCUACAACACCGACGGUUUGACACUUUCGAAAGAAGAGGGGAGGGGAAUCUUUGAUUCCCCGUUUCUUCGAACCCUUCAAAAUUUCUUCGAAAAUGUCAAAUCAAAUCCGAUAGCCGAACAGAUCCACGCCACCGUUAUUAACUUCGUCGACAUCAUCUGCAGCAUCGCUAGAAGACCAAACGGGGAUUUCUUCGGACCCCAAAUCAAGAUCAA
rnacentral:lncRNA from 1 species